GCCCGAUUAGCUCAGCUGGUUAGAGCGUCGUACUAAUAGCGUUUCUUUCUGUGAGAAAUCAUAUUUGGUAAUUCAAAUGUGAAGGUCAACAGUUCAAUCCUGUCAUUGGGCA